GAGUUUGAUCCUGGUUCAGAGCGAACGCUGGCGGCAGGCCUAACACAUGCAAGUCGAACGGACCCUUCGGGGUUAGUGGCGGACGGGUGAGUAACACGUGGGAACGUGCCUUUAGGUUCGGAAUAGCUCCUGGAAACGGGUGGUAAUGCCGAAUGUGCCCUUCGGGGGAAAGAUUUAUCGCCUUUAGAGCGGCCCGCGUCUGAUUAGCUAGUUGGUGAGGUAAUGGCUCACCAAGGCGACGAUCAGUAGCUGGUCUGAGAGGAUGACCAGCCACAUUGGGACUGAGACACGGCCCAAACUCCUACGGGAGGCAGCAGUGGGGAAUCUUGCGCAAUGGGCGAAAGCCUGACGCAGCCAUGCCGCGUGAAUGAUGAAGGUCUUAGGAUUGUAAAAUUCUUUCACCGGGGACGAUAAUGACGGUACCCGGAGAAGAAGCCCCGGCUAACUUCGUGCCAGCAGCCGCGGUAAUAC
rnacentral:rRNA from 1 species